GAUGAAGAACGCAGCAAAAUGCGAUAAGUAAUGUGAAUUGCAGAAUUCAGUGAAUCAUCGAAUCUUUGAACGCACAUUGCGCCCGCCAGUAUUCUGGCGGGCAUGCCUGUUCGAGCGUCAUUUCAACCCUCAGGCCCCCAGUGCCUGGUGUUGGGGAUCGGCAGCAGGGCGUCAAGCCCGCCGGCCCCGAAAUCUAGUGGCGGUCUCGCUGUAGUCCUCCUCUGCGUAGUAGCACAACCUCGCAGUUGGAACGCGGCGGUGGCCAUGCCGUUAAACACCCCACUUCUGAAAGUUGACCUCGGAUCAGGUAGGAAUACCCGCUGAACUUAAGCAUAUCAAUAAGCGGAGGA
rnacentral:misc_RNA from 1 species